AAAGGAGAAGAUGGGACGUCGCAGCAUCAUUAUAAUUUCCCAAUUUCUUGUGAAAAAUGACCUUCAAGACAUUUCCAGAAUGACAAAUUUGAUGUGUGCCUGCUGUAUGAUGUGUGCUGGUAGAAACAUUUACCUGUACAUCCAUUAUCAGAAGAACCGCGCAUUCUUCUUUCAAGUUUAUCUGCUACCGAGUAUAUUCCCAAUUUGUGGCGAAGUAUCACGUUGUCAUCGCCAUAGUACUUCAAUCUGUAACAUAAACUCAUGGUUAGGAAACCAUAAACAAAGGAAUAAACGCAAUGAGGAAGAGGAGAAUGAAGAGAUUGCAGAACGGAGGACAUUGGAGAAUGGAGAGGGUGGGAACGAGUCGCAG